rnacentral:rRNA from 1 species
AACGAACGCUGGCGGCAGGCUUAACACAUGCAAGUCGAGCGCCCCGCAAGGGGAGCGGCAGACGGGUGAGUAACGCCAGGGAACGUACCCAUUGCUACGGAACAGCUCCUGGAAACUGGAAUUAAUACCGUAUGUGCCCUACGGGGGACAGAUUUAUCCGCAAAGGAUCGGCCCGCGUUGGAUUGGCUAGUUGGUGGGGUAAUGGCCUACAAAGGCGACGAUCCAUAGCUGGUCUGAGAGGAUGAGCAGCCACAUUGGGACUGAGACACGGCCCAAACUGCUACGGGAGGCAGCAGUGGAGAAUAUUGGACAAUGGGCGCAAGCCUGAUCCAGCCAUGCCGCGUGAGUGAUGAAGGCCUUAGGGUUGUAGAGCUCUUUCACCGGAGAAGGUAAUGACGGUAUCCGGAGAAGAAGCCCCGGCUAACUUCGUGCCAGCCGCCGCCGUAACAC